UAGGGAAUCUUCCGCAAUGGGCGAAAGCCUGACGGAGCAACGCCGCGUGAGUGAAGAAGGUCUUCGGUUCGUAAAACUCUGUUAUUAGGGAAGAACAAAUGUGUAAGUAACUAUGCACGUCUUGACGGUACCUAAUCAGAAAGCCACGGCUAACUACGUGCCAGCAGCCGCGGUAAUACGUAGGUGGCAAGCGUUAUCCGGAAUUAUUGGGCGUAAAGCGCGCGUAGGCGGUUUUUUAAGUCUGAUGUGAAAGCCCACGGCUCAACCGUGGAGGGUCAUUGGAAACUGGAGAACUUGAAUGCAGAAGAGGAAAGUGGAAUUCCAGGUGUAGCGGUGAAAUGCGCAGAGAUAUGGAGGAACACCAGUGGCGAAGGCGACUUUCUGGUCUGUAACUGACGCUAAUGUGCGAAAGCGUGGGGAUCAAACAGG
rnacentral:rRNA from 1 species